AUUGAACGCUAGCGGGAUGCCUUACACAUGCAAGUCGAACAGCAGCACGGACUUCGGUCUGGUGGCGAGUGGCGAACGGGUGAGUAAUGUAUCGGAACGUGCCCAGUAGCGGGGGAUAACUACGCGAAAGCGUAGCUAAUACCGCAUACGCCCUACGGGGGAAAGCAGGGGAUCGCAAGACCUUGCACUAUUGGAGCGGCCGAUAUCGGAUUAGCUAGUUGGUGGGGUAACGGCUCACCAAGGCGACGAUCCGUAGCUGGUUUGAGAGGACGACCAGCCACACUGGGACUGAGACACGGCCCAGACUCCUACGGGAGGCAGCAGUGGGGAAUUUUGGACAAUGGGGGAAACCCUGAUCCAGCCAUCCCGCGUGUGCGAUGAAGGCCUUCGGGUUGUAAAGCACUUUUGGCAGGAAAGAAACGUCAUGGGUUAAUAACCCCGUGAAACUGACGGUACCUGCAGAAUAAGCACCGUAAUAC
rnacentral:rRNA from 1 species